rnacentral:rRNA from 1 species
UACGUAGGGGGCAAGCGUUAUCCGGAUUUACUGGGUGUAAAGGGAGCGUAGACGGCAGCGCAAGUCUGGAGUGAAAUCCCAUGGCUUAACCAUGGAACUGCUUUGGAAACUGUGCAGCUGAAGUGCAGGAGAGGUAAGCGGAAUUCCUAGUGUAGCGGUGAAAUGCGUAGAUAUUAGGAGGAACACCAGUGGCGAAGGCGGCUUACUGGACUGUAACUGACGUUGAGGCUCGAAAGCGUGGGGAGCAAACAGG